GCGGGCGCCCAAGCCGGGAAGGAAGCGGGUGUUGCGCUUGGAAGUUCUGUGAGGCUGCGGGAAGCCUCGUUCUCCCACCUGAAACGCGGAGAGGAAUUAUUAAAGUUGGAAGAGACGCGGAUUCCUUCGUUCACUCAGCAAACGUUGAACGCUUAUUGUAUGCCAGGUGCGUUCUGGGAUCUGCGGAUUCGAUGAUGACGUUAGUGAAGAAGACAGACUGAUAACGUAGCGCCGUGACUGGGCCAGUGUUUAACCCAUAUGUGCCUCGAUUUCCUCACCCAUGAAAUGGACAAUUACAAAACACUUGCAGAGGUUUUUUUUUGUUUGUUUGUUGUUGUUUUGUUUUUGAGACAGCAAGAAUUCCUGGACUCAAGUUGUCUUCCCAUCAGCCCUCCCUGCUUUAGUAGGAUUUCGCUACUGGCGCUUACUAUUUACCAUAAACUCUGAGAAGAAGAAGGAAUUUUUUUAUUUGUGUGAUGCUAGGGAUCAAAUCCAGAGCCUCCAUGCUAGGCAAGUGGUUCCUGAGUACAGCUUCUGAAAUUCUCUAAUGGCCUUAGUGUGUGCUGUGGACAUGGAUAGUCUGCAGAGCUGGAAUCACUUUGAUGCCUCUCUAAACACACACACACACAGGAGAUUGAUGCCAGCGGUGCUCUACCACUGAGCUACAUCCCCAGCAGUGGGUAAGGGACUGUCCCUAAAGUAUGAAAAGGGACUGAAGAGAAGUGAAAGAGCUCCCCUCAACCCUGCUCACACCUGGACCCAGAGCCAAAGUGUGUGUAGGGUGAAAGGAGCCUGAGGCCAGGCCCAUGCUGCCACAAGAAGGCUCAGAGUCCCUCAACAAUCAUGUGUUACAUGCCUCUAAGUGUUGGGGAACCGCAGUGAGCAAAAAGAGAUCCCUGACCUUAGGGAGUUGACAUUCUAUUGGGGGAAAUAAACAAAAGGCCCAUAUUAUAUAUGAAUAUUUUAUGGUUUGAACUUAGCAGUGAUUAUACAGGUGUGUUAUGUAAAAAUUUAUCAAGCUCUUUGUUAGGAUUUGUGCAUUUUACUUUGAUACUUUGGUCUUAAAAAGGCAGAAAGUGGUAAAUGAUGUCUUAUACAUUUUUCCAUAUACCUGAUAGUCUUUAAAAAUCAACUUUAAGGUCUGAGUGUGCAGCUCAGUGGUAAAGUUCUUGCCUAACAUUUGGGAGGCCCUGGGUUCCAUCCCUAGAGCCCCUUUUAAAAUGAUAAGUAAUUUAGAGAAAAAUGAAGCAGAGACAGGAGGCGGUGUCGGGGAUGGGGUGGGGGGGGGGGAGAAACUGUUGGAAACCAGGCGGUUUAAGGAAAGCCUCACUGAGGUAAAGAGCUGGAGGCAGUGAGGACUUGAGGUGAGACUGAGAGUCUCCGGUGCUCUCCCAGAGACACCCAGCUCUAGGCUGUUAGUAACCCAGAUGAAUUAGCACGCAACACAGAGUCUUGGCAGUAGCCCUGGACCCGGGCAAGGAGGGUUAUCAGUCCUCACUAACCCAUUUCGGAGGCAGGCGCGGAGGUGCGCACCUAUAAGCCCAGCGUCUGGAGAAGCUGAGACUGGAGAACCUCAAAUUCAAUGCCACCCUUCAGGCCUGCCUCAAAAUGAAAAAUAAAAAGGUCUGGGUGGUGCAGCUCAGUGGCAAAGAGCCCCUGGGUUCGAUUCUCAGUACAAAAAAAAAAAUAAAUAAAACACCAAUUUCUGCAGUUUUUCAGUUAUUCUGUUCAGAGAGCUGAUGGGAGGUCGAGGAUACCCAUAAAGCUGCCUCAACAACUUUGCGCAGACGCAGCACACCCUCUUCAUCAGGGCUCCGGUGAUUGGCCAAUCUUAGAGAAACUGCAGCCAAUCAGCUGCAGGCCUAGAACGCUUCCGCGUCCCUCCCGGGACCAGAUGACAGCCCACUCGGGCAGCGGCUGGGGUCACUACUGACUUCUAUUCCGUGUGUCCAGCUGCGCGUAGGCGCAGUUCAUUCUAUUGAGCUGGAACGUGGGCGGUGAUGGGGUCACCUGGCUGCGGGCUUCAGAGUUCCCAAAGUCCCGCCUCAUGAGGCAUCUUGGCUCUUAUUUUCUUAUUUAUGCUUCCAGAGUAGUCGGUUUCAACAUAGACAUUUGCUUAUUUUAUAUACAUAUUAGCACGGAACACGGUGCUACAUGUGAGACCCAAGCACACUCUGGCAUGCAGUCUUCAGAAGCAUCCUAGCAAAGCGCCGGGUGCGGCAGCACACGCCUGUAAUCCCACCUACGGGGGAGACUGUGGCAGGAAGAUCUCACACCCUAGAAAAGUGGCAGCUUCAGGGUGGAGGGUCCUGGCAGACAUCAUCUUAACCAAUUGACCAUGGUUAAUAUCACCAGCAGUGAGUCAUCGUGACAUCAUGAAGCCCUUGGAAUGAUGCACUAGGGCACAUCGUCAUCUUUUUGGCAUCCUUCCCAGCAACGCCAAAUCUUCAAUCUAAUCGACAUAAACCAAACAAAGAGAGGUUCGACAAAAUAACCGACCAGUACUUUCCAAAACUGUCAAGGUCGUUGAAGAAACCAAAGAACUGCAACAUAUUCGAGGAAUCUAAAGACACAUGACAAUUAAAUGCAAAGAGGCAUCUUGGCUUGAAUCUUGAGACAUAAGUGGAAAAGGAAAAACUGAAGAAAUCCGAAUGAAAAUAUAGCAAUUGUAGCAAAGUUAAUUUCUUAGUUUUUAUAAAUUUAUGAUGAUUAUGUAAGAUGUUAACAUUAGGAGCAGCUGGGUGAAGUGUAAAUGAGAAGUCUCUAUACUAUUUUUUCAGCUCCUCUAUAAGUCUAAAAUUAUCUCAGAAAGUCUUUUUUAAAAAGAAAACCUAGGGAACAGGCACUAUUGACAUACCCAUCUUCUAGAGAAGGGAAUGGAUGUGCAGAAAAGUUAAGACAUCUAUUCAAGGUCACACAGCCAGGAAGCAGCAGAGCAGGCUUCAAACUUGUAAGCCAGGGAUCUAGAGUACUACCCCCCACCAGUCCUGGUGUCAAAGCCAUUGAGUUACCACUGAGCUUCCCUUGCCCAUUUUAUUUUGAGACAGGGUCUCACUAAGUCAGCCAAGCUGGCCUCUAACUUGCAAUCCUUCAGAGUAGCUUGGAUUACAGGUGUAUGCCAUCACAACUGGCUGAGAGCCCCUGCAUUUAAAUGCAGAGCCACCUUGACUUCAUUUAGUUGAAAAAAAAAAGUACUGUAUAUUCUGGAUCCAUCUUUGUCUAUCUCCUUUGUCCCCUGUUGAUAGACCCACAGGGUGAUAAGGCCACUGUGAUAAAUAUUCUUGCACAUAUUCUCGUUCUUCAUAUCUACAUUUGUACUUCUUCAUAAUAUUCUUUAAAAGAGGAUAUCGCUGAUUCAGAAGUUAAGGACAUUUGUCAUUUUGAAAACUCUCAAUAAACUGCCCACAUGCCUGCAUUGCCUAGUGUUACAUAUUCUGAUUUUGCCAGUCUGAGAGUCACCAGUAAAAAAAAUUUUUAAGUUUAUUCGACCAGAUGUUUUUUCUACCAAAAAAAAAAAAAAUUCAUUCAAAAGCUCAAGGUUAGAUAAGGGAUUGUCCAGGCUGGACAAGUUGUAGAAUGGUUUUUAUAGCCCCCAUCAUAGCCUGUGACACACCUCCCUGCCCAC